GAUGAACGCUAGCGGCAGGCCUAAUACAUGCAAGUCGAACGGUCAGCAAUGACAGUGGCGAACGGGUGCGUAACGCGUAAGGAACCUGCCCUUCACUGGGGGAUAGCUUUGCGAAAGCGAAGGUAAACCCGCAUGGUUCUGUGGGAUCGCAUGGUUUUACAGAUAAAUAUUUAUAGGUGAAGGAGGGUCUUGCGUCGGAUUAGUUAGUUGGCAGGGUAACGGCCUACCAAGACGAUGAUCCGUAGGGGCUCUGAGAGGAGCGGCCCCCACAUGGACACUGAGACACGGGUCCAACUCCUACGGGAGGCAGCAGUAGGGAAUAUUGGGCAAUGGCCGGAAGGCUGACCCAGCCAUGCCGCGUGGAGGAAGACGGCCCUCUGGGUUGUAAACUCCUUUUAUCGGGGAAGAACAGCACUCUUGCGAGGGUGUGUGACGGUACUCGAGGAAUAAGCACCGGCUAACUCCGUGCCAGCAGCCGCGGUAAUACGGAGGGUGCAAGCGUUGUCCGGAUUUAUUGGGUUUAAAGGGUGCGUAGGUGGUCUGAUAAGUCUGGUUUGAAAGUUGGUCGCUUAACGAUCAAGGGUGGCUGGAUACUGUUGGACUUGAAUGGGGUGGCGGUAGCCGGAAUGGGUUGUGUAGCGGUGAAAUGCAUAGAGAUGACCCGGAACACCGAUUGCGAAGGCAGGCUACUACGCCUUAAUUGACACUGAGGCACGAGAGCAUGGGGAGCAAACAGG
rnacentral:rRNA from 1 species